rnacentral:rRNA from 1 species
UACGUAGGGAGCAAGCGUUGUCCGGAAUCAUUGGGCGUAAAGCGCGCGUAGGCGGCCCUGUAAGUCCGUUGUGAAAGUCAAAGGCUCAACCUUUGAAAGCCGAUGGAUACUGCAGGGCUAGAGUCCGGAGGAGGCGAGUGGAAUUCCUGGUGUAGCGGUGGAAUGCGCAGAUAUCAGGAGGAACACCAAUAGCGAAGGCAGCUCGCUGGGACGGUACUGACGCUAAGGCGCGAAAGCGUGGGGAGCGAACAGG